rnacentral:rRNA from 1 species
GAUGAACGCUAGCUACAGGCUUAACACAUGCAAGUCGAGGGGAAACGAUAUUGGAAGCUUGCUUCCGAUAGGCGUCGACCGGCGCACGGGUGAGUAACGCGUAUCCAACCUGCCCACCACUUGGGGAUAACCUUGCGAAAGUAAGACUAAUACCCAAUGAUAUCUCUAGAAGACAUCUGAAGGAGAUUAAAGAUUUAUCGGUGAUGGAUGGGGAUGCGUCUGAUUAGCUUGUUGGCGGGGUAACGGCCCACCAAGACGACGAUCAGUAGGGGUCCUGAGAGGAAGGUCCCCCACAUUGGAACUGAGAUACGGUCCAAACUCCUACGGGAGGCAGCAGUGAGGAAUAUUGGUCAAUGGGCGAGAGCCUGAACCAGCCAAGUAGCGUGCAGGAUGACGGCCCUAUGGGUUGUAAACUGCUUUUAUAAGGGAAUAAAGUGAGCCUCGUGAGGCUUUUUGCAUGUACCUUAUGAAUAAGGACCGGCUAAUUCCGUGCCAGCAGCCGCAGUAA